ensembl:lncRNA
AAACGUGCCAGCUCAGCAUCUCAGGCAAACCCCUUCCCUACCUACCUCAGUUCCCCAGGUGCACCUAUACAAUAGGUUUGAGUCUCUGGAACUUUAAGGAGAGGUGAGUGAGGAUGUAGUGGGAGGUCCAUCCCCAAGGUUGUUUAAGGUGAGGCAGUCAACUCUGUGCCUCAAGACUGCCUCCACAAAGGAGGAAAGAAGGAUGACUGUCAUAGGCAACUCCCUUCUGACAGGAACAGAGGGCUCUAUAUGUUGGCCUGACCCUACCUGUAGAGAAGUAUGCUGCCUCCCUGGGACCCAGGUCAGGGAUAUUUCUAGGAAACUUUCCAGUCUGAUUCACCCCUGUGAUUAUUAUCCUUUACUAAUUUCAGGUGACAGUGAUGAAGUUGCUGAGAGAAGCUUGAGGACUAUCAAAAGGGACUUCAAGGGCACUGGAGCAGUUAGCUGAUGGACCAUGAGUACAGGCUGGAAAACCUAUCUCUCCACUGAAGUCAGCUAGACUUCAACCACUGAUCCUGUAUGAGCUGACUGAAGAAAUAAUAAAUCCUUGGAUGGUAACAGUAAUUGGAGAAGUCUGAUAGCUUAAGAACUAGGAGAUGCUGAAAUACUACCUUAAUCUACAGCUUCAAGGAAAACUUGAUGGGCUGACCAAUAUGACGUAAAAGUCUGGAUGAAGAAAAUAUCCAGAAUGAAAGACAAAAUGCAGAGGUUCUAUGUGAGGAAGGGUGCAGGGUCCUGGAAGGAACACCAAAAAAGAUGAACAUCUGUGAAAAAUCCAGCCAAAAUUUGUCAUGAAGACAUAUGAAAGGGGCCAGCAUAAAAUCUACCAGUGCAAAAUUGAUCUGAAAAAAAUGUUUUGAACAAAUCUAAUUUGUCAAUCUGAGUUCAUACUUGAUCAGUGUUUUGUACUGUGGAGCUGUCCUACUGGAACUCAAAUGCUGGCUUUGCUAUUUGCAAGGAAAAGUGGCUUAAAAAUGCCUAAGAGACUGUAACAAGGUAUCCAGUUCAUUCAAAAUAUAAUCUUAAUUAUACUUAAUAAUAUAAACUUAUGUAAUAAUUACUUAAUAGAUAACAUAAUAUAAUAUAAACAUAAUAUAAAUAUAAUACAAUAUAAUUAUAGUAAUAUACUUAAUAACAUAAACUUAAUAAUUCUCCAAAAUAGAGAAGUGGAUGGAUUGUUAUAUCUGUAAAAUCUGGGAAAACAACCAGUGUAGAUGAACCCAUGCUUUAGGUGAUAAUGAGAAGGAAAUUACAUAAAAACUGUUAUUUCCAAACUUGAUGUUUUGAUUAUAUUAUCAUUUUCAAGUUUUUUAAUUGCUCUUUGACUUAAGUAAAUAGGUCAGCAUUUUCUCUUGUCUUUUUUUCUUUUCUUUUUUAAUUAAUUAGUUCAUCUGCAGAAAAAAUAGUUUGAUCUCUUUGAAUGUUAGGCCAACUGUUCUUCAUGGCACUCAGAACAAAUUUAUAUUCUCA